rnacentral:lncRNA from 1 species
UGUGUGCGAGACCAGACGACGAACGACGCAGAUAUCUAAUUCUUGUACCGUUAUACCAUACUUAAUCACUUAUUAACCUUUACUUAUAAACAAUAAACAUAAACCCCCACAUUUUUGGAGGCUCGUCCCGGGAAUUGAAGUAAGAUUUAAAGAAGGCCCCACAUUUUUGGGGCUCAUCCCGUAGAUUGAAGUAAGAUUUAAAGAAGGCCCCACAUUUUUUGAGGCUCGUACGUGUGUGAAGGAACAUCGUGUGAAGAAUAAGUGAAAACCUAUAAGUAACUGUACGACGACGACGGCGGUGCAAGAAACGUUAUUUCUGAAAACGACGCGGAUAUUAACAAGUUUAAAAAAGCAGAGUAAUCUAAAUAGACGAUUUUUUUUUUAUCUCAGCAAAAUGACGUGUUUAAACGAGUUAAUUCCGAAAAGCCUACGAGGAGCAACGAAAUCCAGCAUUUGUGCAUUACACAAAUUUGUGUAUGAGAGAGAAGGAGACAGAGGUAACCGAGGCCGGCUGCGCGAAUUUAGUGGAUUCGAAUACGACGAAAACGACGCCAG